rnacentral:tRNA from 1 species
CGGGCUAUUAGCUCAGUGGUAGAGCGCGCCCCUGAUAACGAGGUCUCUGGUUCAAAUCCAGGAUGGCCCA